CACACACUAAGUGUGUGGAUCGAUCUCCAGGAGCGACCAGGAGGGUGAAAACCCUAGAACUCAACAAAUCUUGCAAAUUGAAGGUUCAAUUCAAGUCCAAAUCGAAUUCUAAACAUAGAUUCCUGAUCCUCAUCACAAGGGGAUUACAAGUUUGACGCGUAACAAGCUAGGUGGAAGCUUGAUGAGGGAGCGGGUCAAACGAAUCAAGAAGGAAAGGAAAAAAAACAUAGUUCGGACACGAAGUAAGUAUAUCUUACACUAGUCAUAUAUUUCAUAAUAUCCUUUUGUCGUAUUACGAAAAAAAAAAAGAUAAUUUAUGACGUAAGCCAUGGUAGGCUAAAAAGUGUUAAGAAAUGGAAUUUUAAGUAAGUGACCGCACGGUGUAAAUCGGAGCGAGUCAUAUAUAUGUUUAUUUACGAGGUGGUAAUGAGUAUCAUCUCGCUAAUAUAAUCGGUCAAUUCGGCCAAACGGGUCAAAAGGUGAAAUUAUCACCCUUUGACGAUAUCGACUAAUGGGUUGUCAAGAUGCAUGAUUUUAGGAAAUAAAUAGCACAUGGAUGCUUACAUCGCUAUCGCUUAGCAGCCACUAAGGAAAUGUAUUAAAACGGGUCAAUAUAUUGAUCCGAGCCAGGUACACUAUGGGAUGCCGGAAGACGAUCAAACUGAAGAACCGAACACAAUAAAGACUCAUGCUUCCGCACAUUGCCUCGUUGUAAAUUUUAACGACGAACCCAAUCACGUUCGUAGAAUAGCUUUUGAAUUGUAAAAGUUUUAAUUUACUCGGAAUUUCCUAAGGAUACGUAACACUAAAUACAUGUCUGUAUUCGUAAUUUAUACGAAAACCUUUAAAAUAAUAACUAGAGU